rnacentral:tRNA from 1 species
GAAGAAUUAGUUAAAUUCAUAACAUUAGAUUGUCAAACUAAUAUUAUCAUUAGAUAUUCUUCU